rnacentral:lncRNA from 1 species
GUGUGAAUGCAAGGACCUCAAUUGGUUGAGAAAGCUGCAAAGACUUAAGAUUCUUGGUUUCAUGUGGUGCGACUCCAUUGAAGAAUUACCUGAUGAAAUUGGGGACCUCAAGGAGUUAAGGUUGUUGGAUGUUACAGGUUGUGUAUUGCUAAGAAGGAUUCCUGUGAAUUUGAUUGCAAGGUUGAAGAAGUUAGAAGAACUGUUGAUCGGGAAUUUCAGCUUCGUGGAAUGGGAUGUUGUUGGAUGUGACAGCACAGAAGGAAUGAAUGCAAGCCUAACAGAACUAAAUUCGCUGUCUCAUUUAGCUGUAUUAUCAUUGAAGAUACCGAAGGUUGAAUGCAUUCCCAGAGAUUUUGUUUUUCCCAGGUUGCUCAAAUAUGAUAUAGUGUUAGGGAAUGAGUUUACAGAAACAGAAUACCCAACCUCGACAAGAUUAUAUUUGGGUGGUAUAAGCGCCACAUCCUUAAAUGCAAAGACAUGUGAGCAGUUGUUUCCUACUGUGUCUCAAAUUGGUUUUAGCAACGUUGAGGGUUUAGAAAAUAUAGUAUUGUCCUCUGAUCAGAUGACCACCCAUGGCAAUGGGUCGCAAAAGGACUUCUUUCAAAGAUUAGAACAUGUAGAAGUGAGAGAAUGUGGGGAUAUUCGCACUCUGUUUCCAGCAAAAUGGAGGCAAGCUUUGAAAAAUCUAAGGAGUGUGGAAAUUGAUUACUGCGAAUCAUUGAAAGAGGUAUUUGAAUUGGGUGAGGCCGAUGAAGGAAUUAACGAGGAGAAGGAGCUGCCGCUGCUGUCAUCUUUAACGGAGUUACAGCUUUCCAGGUUACCUGAGCUCAAAUGUAUAUGGAAGGGGCCCACCAGACAUGUCAGCCUCCAAAGUCUUAUUCAUCUGAAGUUGAAGUCUCUUGACAAACUGACAUUUAUCUUCACACCGUCCCUUGCUCAAAGUCUUAUUCAUCUGGAAACACUACGGAUAGGAGAAUGUCGUGAAUUGAAGCGUCUUAUCAGAGAAAAGGAUAAUGAUGAUGAAAAUAAUCAGAUAUUGUCAGGGAGUGAUCUCCAAUCUUCAUGCUUCCCUAAUUUAUGUCGACUUGAGAUCAGUAGAUGCAAUAAGUUGAAGAGUCUCUUCCCAGUAGCCAUGGCUUCAGGUCUCAAAAAGCUCCAAGUACUUGAAGUAAAAGAAUCCUCUCAAUUAUUGGAAGUAUUUGGGCAGGAUGAUCAUCAUCAACCUUCCAUUCCUUUCUCUCUUUGCUAGGUGAGUACUUGUGCAUAUUAUUCUUAAUUUUAUUUGUUUGUCAUUACCUUUAUAUCUUUUUUUAUCUUAAUUAUCUUUAUAGUAUGCUAUCUUUCACUAAUGAAAUUCUUUUUAUUGGUUUUGAGAAGAAAAAAAAAGUAUUUCUAUCUUUGUUUUAUGGAAAAAACACAUAGAUCUAUGAACUAGAUAUAAAAAAAGAAAGGAUAGAUAUUCCCAUUACUUAACAAUCGAGGAAAUGAGUGUUUAAAAUUAAGAUAAUAAAAUUAUCUAAUCUCAUUAGAUAAAGCUGUUGUGUAAAUAAGUGUGACUUGUACUCAUGGCAUAGAUAGAUAAAAAUAAUUAAAUAAGUGUAUUAUGCAGAGAUAGUCAUUACAGAUUUUAGUUGGCUAAGAUUGAUCCGUUGUUGAGUUCGUUCCAUUAAUUAUACUUCCUUGCAAGUAUUUUUUUCUCCUUAUUCAUAAUUUUUUUUUAAAAAAACAUUGACCGAUCAUAGCUUUAGAUUAAUGUGUUAUUGGAAGCGAUGAGCAGCUAGUAUCAUUCGUGCAGGUGUCAAAGUGAUCAUCAUCAACCUUCCAUACAGAGACUGGAGGAAAAUGGCUAUCGAAAGUGUUGGUGGAUCCGUUGUAUCUAAGAUAGCGGAGCUCUUGGUGGAACCAGCAAUAAGGCAGUUCCGUUACAUUUUCUGCUUCAACAAUUUUGUUCAAGAAUUCAGUGAACGAAAGCAGAGCCUAGCUUUAGCGAUAGAUCGUCUACAAAAUGAUGUCAAAGUUGCUGAAAGGAAUGCUGAAGAAAUUGAGAAAGAUGUCAGUAAAUGGCUGGAAGGUGCAAACAACGAAAUUGAAGGUGUGAAUCCUUUGGAUGAAAUAGGAAGAAAUGGCAAAUGCUUUACUUGUUGUCCAAAUUGGAUGCGACAAUUCAAGUUAAGCAAGGCACUGGCAAAGAAGACGGAGGCUUUGAGAAAACUUGAAGAAAAUAGCAGAAAAUUUCCAAAAGUGUCCCACAAAACACCUCUUCAAGAGAUAAAAUUUCUUCCAUCAAAGGAAUUCAUGCUCUCAAAAUCGUCAAAAGAAGCUUUCGAACAGAUUAUGAAAGCUCUCAAAGAUGACACUGUCAAUAUGAUCGGACUGUACGGAAUGGGAGGGGUGGGUAAAACCACCCUGGUGAAAGACGUAGCCAGGAGGGCCAAAGAGUUGCAGUUGUUUGAUGAAGUUUUGAUGGCUACACUGUCCCAGAAUCCAAAUGUCACAGGCAUCCAGGAUCGAAUGGCAGAUAGUUUAGAUCUGACUUUACUCAAGAAGAGUAAAGAAGGGAGAGCAAAUGAAUUAUGGCAGAGACUGCAGGGAAAGAAGAUGCUUAUAGUCCUGGAUGAUGUUUGGAAAGAUAUUGACUUCCAAGAGAUAGGGAUCCCAUUUGGUGAUGCUCACAGGGGUUGUAAAAUUCUUCUAACAACACGUCUUGAAGACAUAUGUAAGAAUAUGGCGUGCCAGCAAAAAGUGUUCUUAAGUCUCUUAUCAGAAAAUGAAGCAUGGGCUUUAUUCAAAAUCAAUGCAGGUUUACAUGAUGAGGACUCUGACUUGAACAGAGUGGCAAAGGAGGUUGCGAUAGAAUGCCAAGGCUUGCCUAUAGCACUGGUGGCAGUGGGAAAGGCUCUAAAAGAUAAAUCUAAAAAUGAGUGGGAAGUAGCAUCUGAAGAGCUCAAAAAAUCUCAAUCUCGGCACAUGGAAAAAUUUGAUGACCGAAGAAAUGCAUAUGCAUGUCUUAAAUUGAGCUAUGAUUAUUUGAAGUACAAGGAAAUCAAGUUAUGUUUCUUGCUAUGCUGUUUGUUUCCAGAAGAUUACGACAUUCCAAUCGAGGAGUUGAUGAGAUAUGUAGUUGGCUACGGGUUAUAUCAAGAUGUGAAGUCCAUUGAAGGUGCAAGGAAACGAGUUUAUGUGGAAAUCGAAAACCUCAAAGGUUGUUGUAUGCUGCUAGGCACUGAAACUGAAGAACAUGUGAAAAUACAUGACUUGUUUCGUGAUGUUGCUAUUCAGAUAGCAUCAUCAGAAGAAUAUGGAUUCAUGGUUGAGGCUGGCAUUGGGUUGGAGGAGUGGCCACUGAGCUAUAAAAGCUUUGAAGGUUGUACAGCAAUUUCGUUAAUGGGCAAUGAACUAACAGAACUUCCUGAAGGAUUGGUGUGUCCACAUCUCAAAGUUCUAUUAUUAGGACUGGAUCGUGGUUUGAAUGUUCCAGAGAGGUUUUUUGAAGGGAUGAAAGAAAUUAAAGUUUUGUCUCUAGAGGGAGGGUGUUUGUCAUUGCAAUCACUUCAAUUCUCAACGAACCUUCAAUCGUUGCUGUUGAUCGAGUGUGAAUGCAAGGACCUCAAUUGGUUGAGAAAGCUGCAAAGACUUAAGAUUCUUGGUUUCAUUUGGUGCGGCUCCGUUGAAGAAUUACCUGAUGAAAUUGGGGAGCUCAAGGAGUUAAGGUUGUUGGAUUUGACAGGUUGUGAAAAUCUAAGAAGGAUUCCUGUGAAUUUGAUUGCAAGGUUGAAGAAGUUAGAAGAACUGUUGAUCGGGGAUGAAAGCUUCGAGGAAUGGGAUGUU